CCCCAGAACCUGUGAACACCUUAACUUACAUGGCAAAAGGGUUUUGCAGCUGGGAUUAACUUUAGCAUUUGGGGAUGGGAAAAUGAUCUUGGAUGGCCCACGUGAGCCCAGUGUAAUCACAGCGUCCUUAUAAGAGAGCAGGAGGAUCAGAGUCAGAGGAAGGAGAUGUAAAAAUGGAGAGGGUCAGAGAGGAGAGGAAAUGCUACCCUGCUAGCUUUGAAUACAGGGAAGAGUCUAGGAAUGCUGACAAUCUCUAGAAGCUGAAGGAGAGAAGGAAGUAAAGACAAGAAAGCAGAUUCUCCCUGGAGCCUCCAGAGUGGAACGCAGCCUUAUCAACAUCUUGAUUUUAGCAAGGAAAUAUCCAGAAUCAGCAAAUUCAUGAAGACAGAAAGCAGAUCGAUGGUUGCCAGGCAAUGGAAGGAGAGGAGAUGGGGUGACUUUUUAAGAGGCAGAUUUCCUUUGGAUCAAAGAAAAUAUUCAGAGACUGACAUAGUGGUGAGGGUUACACAACCUUGUGAGCAAACUGAGUGUCUUUAAUGGAUGUCCUACAGAUGGACUAGCCUUGGGAGCCCUUGAAUUGGAGAGGAAUCUGGGAUGAAAAAGAUUAAGCCCUGCUGGCCUAACAUCAGCUCUUGGCUUUCAAAAACAUUAGCAUAUGCCCUUGUCAAAUCUGUGAGAGAUGGUUUUGGAUCAGAAAUAACCACAUGUGGGACCCGACAAUCUGAGUUUUGCUUACAGAAAGUGAACAGCACUUCCCAAACUUGGAACGCUGCCUUCUUUUUGAAUCUUCUCUCAACAAUAUGUGCAUGAUCCUUACUGCAAACCAUAAACUAAACUAAAUUCUAAAGGGAUUUAAGAGGUAAAUGUAGAAGAUGAAAAAAAAAUUUUUUAACUAAAAUAAAAUUUAGAUGAAUAGCAUUUAUCUUGCCCGCACUUAAGAAAGGAAUCUAAACAUAAAAACAUUAAGAAAAAAAAUAUAGACUUUAUUGUAUAGAAGUUAUUUUAUUGUGUAAAAGUUCUGCACAUAAAACAAUCUAAACCCAAAAAGCCAGACUAUUUUCAUUAGUAUGUAAAGAUUUAAUAGCCUUCAUUUGUAAAACACUUAUAUAAUCAAUGAGAAAAGUGAUUUCUCAACAGAAAGAUUAGCAAAAGACACUGACACUUUUAAGAAUAAAAAGUAAACAUAUCUAUGAAAAACAUUUUAUAAUGGUCAGCACUACAGUAAUAAAUGGAAAUUAAAAUGAGAUAUUCAAUCUGACCUGUUACUUUUGUACGUAUUUCAAGAAUUAUAAUACUUAAUACUGGCAAAUGUACAGAUUUUCUGGAAAGCAUUUUAUCAAUAUGUGCCAAAAAAACUUUAAAGUUUCCAGGCAAACCAGGAUAAGGUUGUAUGUAUAAUAUUAUUUUUUAUCAUGCUAUUUACAAUGGCUAAAAACUAGGGGAAAAUUUAGAUGUCUAAAAAAGAAAAGUAUGGUUAAUGUAAUUAAACCUUGUCAUGGAAAAGAUUUUUUAUGAAAUUGUGAAAUCAUUAAAAAAUGCAUGUGAAAUAAUAUAGAAUGAUCAGAAAGAAACUGUGCAUAGAUGUAUAUAGUGUCAUUUCAAUGAUCUGAACCUGUAUAUCUGUGUGUAUAGGGCUUCCCUGGUAGCUCAGCUGGUAAAGAAUCAGCCUACAAUGCAGGAGACCCUGGGUUGAUUCCUGAAUCUGGAAGAUACCCUGGAGAAAGGAUAGACUACCUACUCCAGUAUUCUUGGGCUUCCCUGGUGGCUCAGAUGAUAAAGAAUCCACCUGCAAUGAAGGUGAC
ensembl:lncRNA